GACGAACGCUGGCGGCGUGCCUAAUACAUGCAAGUUGAGCGCUGAAGGUUGGUACUUGUCCCUACUGGAUGAGCAGCGAACGGGUGAGUAACGCGUGGGGAAUCUGCCUUUGAGCGGGGGACAACAUUUGGAAACGAAUGCUAAUACCGCAUAAAAACUUUAAACACAAGUUUUAAGUUUGAAAGAUGCAAUUGCAUCACUCAAAGAUGAUCCCGCGUUGUAUUAGCUAGUUGGUGAGGUAAAGGCUCAACAAGGCGAUGAUACAUAGCCGACCUGAGAGGGUGAUCGGCCACAUUUGGACUGAGACACCGCCCAAACUCCUACGGGAGGCAGCAGUAGGGAAUCUUCGGCAAUGGACGAAAGUCUGACCGAGCAACGCCGCGUGAAUGAAGAAGGUUUUCGGAUCGUAAAACUCUGUUGGUAGGGAAGAACGUUGGUGGGAGUGGAAAGCUCAUCAAGUGACGGUAACUACCCAGAAAGGGACGGCUAACUACGUG
rnacentral:rRNA from 1 species